rnacentral:rRNA from 1 species
GAUGAACGCUGGCGGCGUGCUUAACACAUGCAAGUCGAACGGAAAGGCCCAAGCUUGCUUGGGUACUCGAGUGGCGAACGGGUGAGUAACACGUGGGUGAUCUGCCCUGCACUUCGGGAUAAGCCUGGGAAACUGGGUCUAAUACCGGAUAGGACCACUUCUUGGAUGUUGUGGUGGAAAGUUUUUUCGGUGUGGGAUGAGCUCGCGGCCUAUCAGCUUGUUGGUGGGGUAAUGGCCUACCAAGGCGUCGACGGGUAGCCGGCCUGAGAGGGUGUACGGCCACAUUGGAGCGGAGAUACGGCCCAGCCUCCCACGGGAGGCAGCAGUGGGGAAUAUUGCACAAUGGGCGCCAGCCUGAUGCAGCGACGCUGCGUGGGGGAUGACGGCCUGCGGGCUGUAAACUCCUUUCGCUAGGGAAGAAGCGUUUUGUGACGGUACCUGGAGAAGAAGCACCGGCUAACUACGUG